UACGGGGGGGGCAAGCGUUGUUCGGAAUUACUGGGCGUAAAGGGCUCGUAGGCGGCCAACUAAGUCAGACGUGAAAUCCCUCGGCUUAACCGGGGAACUGCAUCUGAUACUGGAUGGCUUGAGUUCGGGAGAGGGAUGCGGAAUUCCAGGUGUAGCGGUGAAAUGCGUAGAUAUCGGAAGGAACACCAGUGGCGAAAGCGGCUUCCUGGUCCAGCACCGACGUUCAGGCACGAAAGCGUGGGGAGCAAACAGGG
rnacentral:rRNA from 1 species